GCCUACGUAGCUUAGAUAGAGCAUAGCAGUGAAGAUGCUGGGGGGACUUUUUAGUCCGUUGGCG
rnacentral:tRNA from 1 species